GUCGCUGCGGGUGGAGAGAGACCUUGGGACUGAGCGCAGGCCCAGCGAGGGGUCUCAGCACCGGACUUCUUGACAGGUAACAGGAUUGCGAAAGAACCAGGGCGAGGGCGGCGCCUUCUCCCUCGCCUUGCGUCAGUUUAAGGUUUUUGGAGCGAGGAAGAAGGUGACGUGUAUAAUUUAUAGCUCCAUUUUGGGCCUGGGGGAGGACAAGUGUUUAUCUUUCCUUCUCAAUGCAAGUUUUGAUUUGGUUUGGGUUUUGUUGUCUACACUUUUUUAUAUUUCUUUUGGUUGAUGUCGUGUUUCUUCCCUUUGUUACAACCUAAUUUCUUCAGUUUCUUUAGAUAUUUUGUAGCUAUUACACAACCAAACUUUACAUCUGUAUAUUUAUAAUUCUUCAAACAGUAAAUGUUGACUCUACCUGAAAUGGAUUUUUCUGUCAAAUGUUAUCACCAAGCUAACUACUUCCACGAAUAAUUUACUCGGGAGAUUCUGUUCUGAUACUGAUUCCUGAACUAAGUUCUGGGAUUUGUAUUUCUCUUGAAUAUUCCAUAAAGCCCAAGACUAUGGUAGGCACAUGAUAGACUUUCAAUAUAUUCUUGAUAAUCUAUCACUUUUCAAUGCAGGGAGAAACCAGUGUCCUCAUUCCUCUUGUGACCUGAUCAACGACCUCCACUCUCACCUCCACCCACCAAACAUGCCCUCAUCCCCUUCUCAUGGACCUUGCAUUGUCGUCCUAACUAGCAACUCCAGUUUCUCUCCAUAAUAGUCUAGGAAACCCCUUCUCCCCUGAAACUCCUGAGACUCAUCCUUAGUAUCACUUACAAAUGUCAAGGCUUGGGCAUCUGGCUUCAGCCUGCACUUCAGAUUCUGCAUGUCCAUCCUUUGUGACCAACCCAAGUGUUUUCAUUCUUUCCUAUAUUCUUAUCAGAAACAGCAUACUGUAAUGGAAAGAUGCCAUUUUUAACAACCAUAUUAUGAAAAAUAGCAAACUUAGAAAUUGCAUCAAACAUCUAGUCAGUAUAUAAAUUUCAAGAUGUCUCCUGUUCUUAAUAUUUUUGUUUAGUUUGUUUGAAUCAUGACCUAUACAAGCUCCACACACUGUAAUUGGUUAAUAUAAUUUAAGUAAUCCAUAGAUUCCCCCUUCUUUAAGGCCCUUCUUCUAGGUAGUGAAAUGGUGGACUCACCAGUGAUAUUUCAUUUAAAGUUGUGGAAUUCUUCUGUAUUUUUCAUGCCUUUAAAGCUUGGAAUCAGGACGUGAAAAAGAGCAUACAAAUAGGAGUCUCUUAAGUUAUUCUUUCAGGGAUAUCCUUGAUGUACUACAUAAAACAUAAACACACUCUUACACAUGUAUAUACAAUGGAUUUGCCGAGAGAAGCUAGGUUAAACUCUACAUUUCAGGCAAAGAGAAGGCUGUGCUAACCUUCAGGCCAUUCUUAAAUCAGUUUUCCUCCUCAAUAUAUACUUUUCUGUCUUCUCAUUUUAUAUGUUCUCUCUAGACCUAAAACUGACCUUUUAUGCUGUUACUCUUUAAUAGUUUUCUAUCAAUGCUCUAAUGCCAAAGGCUGGCUAACCACUCAUCAAAGAUGCUGUAGAAGAGGUCUGGAAUUAGGUGGAAGGUGGGCUCAGAGUUGACCUCACUGUUGGUGAAGAGUCAGUUGAUGGUAGUUUAAGAAACUAUUGAACACUGAUUUUAUGCCUGCCCCCCAGCCUAACAUGUCUAAAACCAUAAGUUCACUAUGGCAAUAAUGUAGGCACCUACAUUACACUGCCCAACAACAAGUGCUGUCUCAGGUACCAGACUGAGAAUAGCCCAACUUGGCAAAGAAGUCCAGUAUAAUUAGGCUAUCUCAAUUUUUUAUUCUCUGUGUGGGUGUUCAACAUUCUCAGUGCUAACUUCUAACCUUUUAUUGUUUAAACAUAGAAACUAUGGAUUAAAUGGGUCUCAGGAGUUUCAUUCCCCCUUAAGAAAGGAUCUAUGCCUAGCAAAGUGUUUCUUGCAGUCUAAGAUUUUUCUUUAAGUUAUUUUUUACUACAUAUUUUUUACUACAUAUCAAUCAAGUGAGCUUUUAUCUGGACUCACAAACAUAAGACACUUAUUAAGUGAACCCAAGUUUUGUGGAAAAUCUGGUCCUUGAAUCAGGAAAUAAGUUAUGCUAUUUACCAUUUAUUUUAAGAAUAGUAGUUGGGUUCUAGGAAGAAACCUGAUUACCUAGUAAUGCUUCUAAUUAGCUUUCAUUCUAGUACCAAAAAAUAAAAAUUAGUAACUUACUAAGUUCGACAGUAGUAAUUUGAAAAAAUACCUUUUGUUUCAUAUGUAAAUGUUGUUAAAGGAAUUUGUACAUUAAAAGUGAAUAAACAUGUUUUUUGCCUUUUUGCCUGAUAUAGUACAUAGAGAAGCAUCUUGGCAGACAUGUCACUGGAGAUCCCUGCAAAUAGUGUGCCCGUGGUUCUCCAGCUCUGAGCUCUGCUAGCAGCUCUACCAGCAAAGUAUUUCGUCUCAGGGUUACAACAGUGACUCUGCUCAAUCUUCAAGGAGUAAAAAGAACCAACUUACAUUUGAAGUCCAAAGCCAGCAUUUAUUCAUUUUGAGGUAGGAUUGGUGAUCAUCCACAAGUGACAUGGCUACUGGGAGUAACUACUGGUUGAGAUGUUGAAGCCAGAGCUCCAGAUGAGUGGCUGAAAUAGAAAUAUCCUCCCGAUAAACAAAUUAUAAAAUGCCAGUGAGAAGAAUUCUUCAUGAUUAGACUCAUCAACAAGUUUGACAGAAUUGGGAUAUCCUCAACCUACGUUCCUGAGGAGGACAUAACAAUAAUUAUGGGAUAUGAGGUACAGCAUCUUAAGUUACAAAUUAUUUUUCCAGAUCUUAUUUAUUUAUAAUGAACUCACAUUACCUGUCAAAUAAGAAUACUAAUAAAAGUCAGGUAAAUUGCUAUUACAAAAAAAUGUAAUUUAGCAUGUAACUGAAUAGAAUCUUAAAUUUUAUCAGUAAUACCCAGAAACUUUAUUUUAACAUUAUUUCCUUUUAAAAAAGAACUUAGAAUAUAGUGGGUCUGUUUCAAAUAUCUUUGUUAGGUAUUUUUUCUUGCAGAAAACAGCAAUUAUAAUUUGCUGCCUUCUGGAAAAAUUUUUUAAAAGGAGGUUCAGAAGAAAGGAAUUUUGUCAAGAUUAAUAAGUUCAGGAUAGGUUUAUUGUAACAGGCUUUGUGGCAUAGGUCCCCUAAGCAAUUUAUUGUGAGAAUCCAGUGUAUGCUAUGUGUCAGAAAUUAAAUUGCCAUCGACUGUCAAUGAAAUUUGGUAUACCCUUAGUCUUAAGUACACAGGUUAUCAUAUGUAAACCAGUCCAAUCUUUGAAGAAUUUUUUUUUAGUUGCUGUAUAGAAUUGUAGGACUGUCCAUUUUACAGGAUUUUUUUAAGCAACAUCUUUAAAAAUUUCUAAAAAUUCUAAAACGUGUUUACUAAGAAAGUAAAAAUUUAGGUGUUUUAUGCUAAGUUGAAAACUUUAUCAAAUAUGAUGGAACCAAAAAUAUAAUUAAGCCAUAGCUAAGAAAAAUCUACCUACAUGAAUAAAUCUUUAUUGAGUAUGAAUAAUUUUUUUCUCGAUGUACAGCCCCAAUUGCACUUUUCUACCCAAUUGGAUAAAUAAAAGCUAAGCUAUAAUUUAAGGUUUUUUUCAAAAUAAAAAUUCAGCGUAUCUCAAGCUGGUUUUCUGAUGUCAUCUUAACAUUUGAUUUGGAAAAGCCAACUUUUAAUUAGGUUGACAAUAAUCAAAGAAUGCAGCGGCUACAAUGGCUACCAUUUACUGCUAUGUGCUAGGCAUUAUUUUAUGUUCUUAUAUCUAUCAACUUUAAUCUAAUAGUAGCAUUGCAAGGUAAUUAUUAUUAGCUUCAUUUCAUUGGUGAGGAAAGAAGCUUAAAGAGAUUAAAGUGCCUUGCCAAGUUUACAUAGCUGGUAAAGUUGCUCAACAGAUAUUUGAGAGCCUACUCUGUGUUGGCCCUGACACUGUGCUGGUUCUGAGACUGUAACAAGAAAGACAAGAUCUCCAUUCUAAAGGAGCUUACAAUCUAUUAGUAAAGUCCAGAUUUGAACAUAAUGGUGUUGGAUUCUAAAACUUUUCUUCUUGGUUUCCACACUCCCUUUUGCCAAGGACACUACAGAAGAGAUGGAUAAAAUUGUUCCAGUGACACUUAAGAAAGUAGGGGGAUGGAAACUACAUAUUGGAGUAUUACAGGAAAGAAAUAUUGGUAUAUGAGUAUCAAGAUAUGUCAAAGGAAAAACCCUAGGAUCUAAAUAUAUGGUAGAAAAUAGAAAGCUUAUGCUGUUUAACAGACUUGCUUUACAAUCACCUGUAGAUAACAUGUAAUACAAUAGCAAUGUACUUGCUGUUACAUCAAUAGCUAUAAGGAUCAGUAUUGUUUCAGUGUAAUUACCCUGCACUGUCUAACAUGGUAGCCAUUAGCCACGUAAGGCUUUCAAGUACUUGAAAUGUG